UACGUAGGGGGCAAGCGUUGGCCGGAUUUAUUGGGCGUAAAGAGCGUGUAGGCGGUUUGGUAGGUCCGCUGUGAAAACUCGAGGCUCAACCUCGAGACGCCGGUGGAAACCAUCAGACUAGAGUCCGGAAGAGGAGAGUGGAAUUCCGGGUGUAGCGGUGGAAUGCGUAGAGAUCCGGAAGAACACCGGUGGCGAAGGCGGUCUGCUGGGCAGUAGCUGACACUGAGGCGCGACAGCGUGGGGAGCAAACAGG
rnacentral:rRNA from 1 species